GCAGACACAUUCCAGCCAAUCAGCAGCAGACCCUCCCUCCCAGACCCUCCCACCUCCUGGACAGCAUCCAUUGUGAAGCUGCAUUCUUAGUGAGCUGUCCAGGAGGUGGGAGGGUCUGGGAGGGAGGGUCUACUGCUGAUUGGCUGGAAUGUGUCUG